UACGAAGGGUGCAAACGUUGCUCGGAAUUAUUGGGCGUAAAGCGCACGUAGGCGGCUUGGCAAGUCGGAUGUGAAAUCCCUCGGCUCAACCAAGGAAGUGCAUCCGAAACUGCCGAGCUUGAGUACUUAAGAGGAUCGCGGAAUUCCCGGUGUAGAGGUGAAAUUCGUAGAUAUCGGGAGGAACACCAGUGGCGAAGGCGGCGAGCUGGGAAGAUACUGACGCUGAGGUGCGAAAGCGUGGGGAGUAAACAGG
rnacentral:rRNA from 1 species